rnacentral:rRNA from 1 species
UACGAAGGGUGCAAGCGUUGUUCGGAAUUACUGGGCGUAAAGCGCACGUAGGCGGCUUUGCAAGUCAGAGGUGAAAGCCCGGGGCUCAACCCCCGGAAUAGCCUUUGAGACUGCAUCGCUAGAAUUGUGGAGAGGUAAGUGGAAUUCCGAGUGUAGAGGUGAAAAUUCGUAGAUAUUCGGAAAGAACACCAGUGGCGAAGGCGACUUACUGGACACAUAUUGACGCUGAGGUGCGAAAACGUGGGGAGCAAACAGG